rnacentral:sRNA from 1 species
GCUGGGCAUGGUGGUGCAUGCCUGUAAUCCCAGUGGCUCAGGAGGCUGAGGCAAGGAGGAUCUCAAGUUCAAAGCCAGUCUCAACAAUUUAGAGAGGCCCUAAGCAACUCAGUGAGACCCUGUCUCUA